rnacentral:lncRNA from 1 species
GUUUCAGGACCGUGGCUAUGGAGUCCGGCGUGGCAGCGGCAAUCCCUGGCCAAAGUGUGCCUUCAGCCAAAAGCAGAACUGGAAACAUCCUAAGUGGGCCGGUAACGAGGCUAGCUCUGUCGACUAGUUCAAGACCCCUGAGCGCUUUGGGCCUGAGGUUCCUCAGCUUCCAAGUGAAAGGCUUCGACUUGGCAUUCUAAGAGACAAUCUCUGUGACCAUCAGUUUCCUCAUCUGUAAAACUGGCAUCAUGAUAACUUUGAAGGUAAUUGUGAAGAUUAAAGGGAGUCAUGCAUGUAAACCACCUUG